AAACUUUUCAGCUAGAGUAUGAUAGAGGAAAGCAGAAUUUCUAGUGUAGAGGUGAAAUUCGUAGAUAUUAGAAAGAAUACCAAUUGCGAAGGCAGCUUUCUGGAUCAUUACUGACACUGAGGAACGAAAGCAUGGGUAGCGAAGAGGAUUAGAUACCCUCGUAGUCCAUGCCGUAAACGAUGUGUGUUAGACGUUGGAAAUUUAUUUUCAGUGUCGCAGCGAAAGCGAUAAACACACCGCCUGGGGAGUACGACCGCAAGGUUAAAACUCAAAUGAAUUGACGGGGACCCGCACAAGUAGUGGAGCAUGUGGUUUAAUUCGAAGAUACGCGCAGAACCUUACCAACACUUGACAUGUUCGUCGCGACUUUAAGAGAUUAAAGUUUUCGGUUCGGCCGGACGAAACACAGGUGCUGCAUGGCUGUCGUCAGCUCGUGUCGUGAGAUGUUGGGUUAAGUCCCGCAACGAGCGCAACCCUCACUUUUAGUUGCCAUCAUUUAGUUGGGCACUCUGAAAGAACUGCCAGUGAUAAGCUGGAGGAAGGUGGGGAUGACGUCAAGUCCUCAUGGCCCUUACGUGUUGGGCUACACACGUGCUACAAUGGUAUCUACAACAGGAAGCAAAACCGCGAGGUUAAGCAAAUCCUUAAAAGAUACCUCAGUUCGGAUUGCACUCUGCAACUCGAGUGCAUGAAGCUGGAAUUACUAGUAAUCGUGGAUCAGCGUGCCACGGUGAAUGCGUUCCCGGGUCUUGUACACACCGCCCGUCACACCAUGGGAGUUGGUUCUACCUUAAGGCAAGGUUUCAAACCCUUGACCACGGUAUAGUCAGCGACUGGGGUGAAGUCGUAACAAGGUAGCCGUAGGGGAACCUGCGGCUG
rnacentral:rRNA from 1 species